UGGGGUAACUGACAAAAUACGGUUUUUGAGUCAAAUAUACAGUUUUUCUUAGUUUUUUCUGCUCUUUCGAAUGGUAUACGUAAAAAAAAUCUAGCUUUAAAAAAAUUACAAUUACACGGACAUUUUCAGGUGUGAACUUUUCAGAUUUCCUUCAAAAUUUUGGUGUAACUGACAUUGUAAUAAUUUUACCAGGUUGAAUUGGUGUAUCUGUAAUAAUGUAAAAAUUUUGCUACAAAACUUUGCAAUUACACUGAUUUGCUAAGGUUUAUAACAUGAAAUAAAAUAGGAGUUUAGAAAGUUUUGAGGCAUAUUACAUUAUUAUUAUACCUGCAGUAUCAGUUAAAGAAGUUAAAGUUAGCUCAACAAAAAAAAAAAAUUAAAUUGAGCAACUAUCCAGCCAACUAGGCGUCACUGCGCGUUGCUAACAUUAACCUGUUGUUACUCUGUUACUUUUACUGUUGUAGUACUCAUGACCUUAAUUCAACAUUGCUAUAAAGAGGUGGGAAAUUAAAUCCAUUUUAUUUUCAGUUUAAGUUGCCCCGUAGAGCUAAAUACGGUAUUGGUAAGUCAAAGCUUAAAAAAAUAUUGAAAUUACUUAGUUUCACAGUAAUACUUUAGUUAUUUCAAUAUUUCUGUCUUAAAAAAAUUAAAUACACAUAUUUUCUUGAUUUUCAUGGCUUUUUUAACAUUUUUUAAUGAAUAAAAUAAAAGUUACUUCUAAUAAAAUAAAAUAAAAAAUAAAGAAAACGACAAAAUGUUAUUUUUUUCAUGAAUUCUCUUAUUUUUUAAUACUUUUACAUAAAUUAUACAGCAACUAAGUAAACAAAACCCAACAAAUACAUCAAAUUAUUUUAAUUUGGGCAGUACUUACACCAAUUUGACCUAUGUUUUUUCCAAAAGUCUGGUGCAAAAUUAGUGUAACUGUCAAAAGUACAAAAAUACAUUGGUGUAACUGCAAUUUAUUUCCUUAACUAAGACAUAUUAGAUAAUUCUUUUUAUUUAAUCUAAAACCGCGUAGAAUUCUAAGCAUUUGUGUAAAAACAAAUCCAAAAAAGGUUAAAUAGGAAAAAAGUUAUGUCCGAUUUAAGACAAAAAAAAACUUUAAACGGCUCUACUGAAAAACUGUAUUUUGUCAGUUACCCCAAGUGAACCUGCAACUGACGAUAUGUACCUAUUGAAAAGUUACACCAACUUAAGUUUGUUUGUGGUGGGCACUUCACUCCUGAAUCCUUCAAUGCCAAAGGAACUCGGCUGAAGAACUCAGCUAUUCCAACACUGGAAUUGAGCAAUCCCAUCUUGCCAGAUGAAGUUUUGACAGAGUUUCCUCUUCAUGUAAAAGACUCCAAUAAAGAAAACCUCAAGACAGUUCUUUAUGAUCAUUCAUAUUGCAUUCCAAAGAAGUCAAAUCCAGUUGAACGAGUUCCCCUUACAACUACAACCAAACAACUAAAUUCAACAUGUUUGGGAGCUGUGGAUAUACCAGAUUCUGGUAUUUCUGCGAAAACAACUUUUGAACCUCUUCCUUCUACUUCCAAUGCACCAGAACAUAUGACCUAUAAACCCAUUGCUCAUGAUGAUAAAAACAUUUGCCAUCAAGAUGCACAGGCAGAAAUAUUAGUCCACAGUUAUAAAAGACCUAAGAAAAACAUUGAAAUGAAAGACACUUCAUCAACAUUUACAAUUAAAGAGAAGAGGCUUUGGCGACAGUUACAAAAUGCAAAAAAAACAAUAAGGAAUAUAGCGAAGUCAAGAGUGAAUUUAGACAAGUUAGAUUCGGAAGUGCUGACAUCGUUAGUAAAGGAUGUAGUGCAGAAUAACAAAAAAAAGUCACAAGGAAAAAGGUGGACUUUAGCCAACAAAAUAUAUGCUUUGGCUAUAUUUAAACGGUCCCCUAAAGCAUACCGCUAUAUGCAAAAGCUGUUUACGCUACCAAGCACUAAAACACUCCAAAGGAUUUUAAAAAAUAUACCAAUGGAGCCUGGUAUAAAUAAAAAUAUAAUUGAUAUGUUAGAGGCAAAAGCAUCAAGUAUGCCAAAGGAAAAUAAAUAUUGCUCGUUAAUAUUUGACGAGAUGGCGUUAAAGAAACGGAUAAUUUAUAACGAAAUUGCUGAUAAAGUGGAUGGCUACGUGGAUUAUGGAGAGGGCGAGAACAUGGGACGAGAAAAGAAAAUUGCAGACCAUGCGUUAGUGUUUAUGAUACAGGGUGCUAAACAUAAAUACAAACAAUAUAUUGCGCACUAUUUUGUGGAAGGCACAAUAUCAACAGCAAAACUGGCAAAAAUUAUAUCGGACAUCAUCAAAAAAUUAAAAGAAAUCGGAUUUGUGGUUCUAACAACAGUUUGUGAUCAGGGAUCUACAAAUAUAGGAGCUCUUAACAUGUUAAAAAGAAACUGUGGACAAGGCAUAGAUAGCAACUUUUUCUCUGUAAAUAAUGACAAAUUUUUUAUAAUCUAUGACAUCCCUCACUUGUUCAAAUCAUUACGAAACAAUUUCUUUAAAAGUGGAAAUAUGUCUUUCGAUGGAAAAAUUGCACAAUGGAGGCAUUUGGUAGUUGCAGAAGAACACAACAGAAUUUUUUUAAAUUUUAAAAAACUGAAUAGUACCAUUGUAAAUCCAACAUUCAAAACUAAGAUGAGGGUGAAGUAUGCUGCGCAUGCUCUGAGUAAUACCGUGGCAGCUAUUUUAAAAAUGAUGGCAUGGAAAGAAGUUUCUGAUUGCAAUGAUACAGCAUUUGUGAUUGAACAGUUAGAUAAACUAUUUGAUUGUACAAAUGGUCCAUCAUCUUUAAAUGACGUAAAGAAAGGGAUCCGGGAAAAUGUUUCCACAUCAAGUAAUCACAUUGAGUCUUGGACCUUUUAUACUGAUAAGUUAAAAACCAUAAAAUUUAUAACAGCAGAAAACACGAUACUAAAAAAUGUUAAAUGCGUAAAGGGAUAUCAAAUAUCUAUCAAAUCCUUAAACGAUAUUUGGGAAAAGUUAAAGAAUGAAGGGUUUAAAUAUAUGAACCUUAGACAGUUUAACCAAGACUCUCUGGAAAACUUAUUUGGAAUCAUUAGGCAACACAGUGUAACCAAUAGAAAUCCCACUAUCACGCACUUUACUGCAGCGCUUAAAACAAGCAUGGUUACUGGGCUGAAAGUGCCUCAUAGCAGAAGUGCUAAUUGUGAAGCAGACAACAAUAAACAUAUGCUGGAAUAUAAAGACAUUUUAAAAACUAAUUUAAAAACAACAGAAAUAAAAAUUAAUGUUCAAGAUUCCACAGACACUGAAUUUUAUCCUGUGUUGUCUAUCCCGGACCCUGAAAACUUAGAACAGCCCAUUGAAAAUUUGUGUAGCCUUGAAAACCAACCAGUAGUAUAUGUAAGCGGGUAUUUAGCUGCCAAACUAUUACAGAACAGUUCUUGUUUAAUUUGUGAAGAGUGUUUGAGCGUGAAAACUCCUGUUGACAAUGAUUUGUAUGCAUAUAUAUCUCUUCGCGAAUGGUGGCAUGAUAAAAAAAGUCUCGUUUAUCCAACAAUUCAAUUAUGUACCACCGUAAAUGAAGCUAAACAAUUUUAUCAUGACCAUAUUGCCGACCAGAUAUAUAUGGAAAAUGUUGGAAAAUUCAUUUUCUUAAUGUUGAGUACAAAUUGUAA